rnacentral:rRNA from 1 species
UGACGACCGGCGGCACGGGUGAGUAACGCGUAUACAAUUUACCUUAUACUGGAGGAUAGCCUUUAGAAAUGAAGAUUAAUACUCCAUGGCAUUAUGAUAUGGCAUCAUAUUAUAAUUAAAGAUUUAUUGGUAUAAGAUGAGUAUGCGUCCUAUUAGUUAGUUGGUAAGGUAAUGGCUUACCAAGACAUCGAUAGGUAGGGGCCCUGAGAGGGGGACCCCCCACACUGGUACUGAGACACGGACCAGACUCCUACGGGAGGCAGCAGUGAGGAAUAUUGGACAAUGGAGGCAACUCUGAUCCAGCCAUGCCGCGUGCAGGAAGACGGCCCUAUGGGUUGUAAACUGCUUUUAUAUAGGAAGAAACCCCACCACGUGUGGUGGGCUGACGGUACUGUAUGAAUAAGCACCGGCUAACUCCGUGCCAGCAGCCGCGGUAAUACGGAGGGUGCAAGCGUUAUCCGGAAUCAUUGGGUUUAAAGGGUCCGUAGGCGGGUAAUUAAGUCAGAGGUGAAAUCCCACAGCUUAACUGUGGAACUGCCUUAGAUACUGGUUAUCUUGAGUUUUGGUGAAGUAGAUAGAAUGUGUAGUGUAGCGGUGAAAUGCAUAGAUAUUACACAGAAUACCGAUUGCGAAGGCAGUCUACUAACUAACAACUGACGCUAAUGGACGAAAGCGUGGGGAGCGAACAGGAUUAGAUACCCUGGUAGUCCACGCCGUAAACGAUGGAUACUAGUUGUUUGGAUUUAUCUGAGUGACUAAGCGAAAGUGAUAA